GACGAACGCUGGCGGCGUGCUUAACACAUGCAAGUCGAACGGAAAGGCCCUGCAUUUGUGGGGUGCUCGAGUGGCGAACGGGUGAGUAACACGUGAGUAACCUGCCCUUGACUUUGGGAUAACUUCAGGAAACUGGGGCUAAUACCGGAUAGGAGCUCCUGCUGCAUGGUGGGGGUUGGAAAGUUUCGGCGGUUGGGGAUGGACUCGCGGCUUAUCAGCUUGUUGGUGGGGUAGUGGCUUACCAAGGCUUUGACGGGUAGCCGGCCUGAGAGGGUGACCGGCCACAUUGGGACUGAGAUACGGCCCAGACUCCUACGGGAGGCAGCAGUGGGGAAUAUUGCACAAUGGGCGGAAGCCUGAUGCAGCAACGCCGCGUGCGGGAUGACGGCCUUCGGGUUGUAAACCGCUUUCGCCUAUGACGAAGCGUGAGUGACGGUAAUGGGUAAAGAAGCACCGGCUAACUACGUG
rnacentral:rRNA from 1 species